UGUGACAGAGGUUUGUUUAGGUUUCUAAAUACUUUACUAAGAAAUUGCUAAAGAAAACUACAUCUGUAUGGUUGGGAUCUCUUGACUGAAAGUCACAAUCAUAGUAAAAUGCAAGUGUUACUAUGUAGUAGAGAAUCUUCAGAUAGGGAAGAGGAAUAUGAUGUGCUAAUUAGUAUAAGAUAAAGCCAACUAUUAGCAGUUUGGUCUUUUCUGUGUCAAGUGACACCAGUGGUGGAGAGAAAAAUUCAACUUCCAGUUAAGCAGGAAAGACAGAAAGACUGUGUGCUAACCUUAGAAGUGGAAGAAAAAAUACUUGGAAUAUUAUAGAAGAGCGUGUUCUUUUGGAGAAAAAACUAGGGGGAGAGGGGGAUAUUCUAGCUCCAGGAGCACAUCUCUCCUGCCUCCAGCAGAUGGAAGAUAGAUAUCCUUUGUCAUCCUUUCAUGUCUCUCAUGGUUAACCUCCAACAUAAUGAUGCCCAUGAAUAAUAUCUCCUCCCAUUUCCAAUAAAUUAAGUGUCUG
rnacentral:lncRNA from 1 species